rnacentral:lncRNA from 1 species
CCCCCGACCCUACUGGCUGUCUUAGGUAAACAUAUGAAUCACUUCCCAGUGAUUUCAGUUCGUCAUGAGUAGGUCUAGACUAGCCUUGCCCGCGCGGCGCCACACCGCCCCCCGUCGAUAUGUAUGUGUAUGUAUACUAUUUUUAUUUCCUGUGAUGAAUUUAGGCCUGAAACAAGAGUUCUAUGAGCAUAAAUUUGUAGUCACGAAAAGGCAAGUUGUGUGCAGGAGUAAUUCGUAAAGGAUACAUUUGUUAUCAUCAUGAGUGAUACAUCUUGCAAUAUGGAAAAUACACAUUGCCAUGCCCGUCCAUGUGCCACAAUGAAAUGUGCUACAUGAUAGUAAUGUUGGAUUGUCAUUCAGUUUUAUUUGAUUAAUUUGAAGCUAGUUACGACAAAAAUUGUAUAUGGUUAACACUGCGCAGCGGCAUGCUGGGCUUCACUAAUAAGUUUUCGUGUCAUUUUCUAGUUACAUCGAAUAGAUUUUUGCAUGAAUUUUUUAAUUGCUCUCUUUUUAUUUUAUUUUUUAUUAAGAUAUUAUUUCAUUGUUCGCUAAUAAGUUAUGGUGCUACUUCUCCCAGAUUUCUUCAGUGCGUAUUCAUCUUCUUAACUCGCAGAUGUAGAAUCACAAAAAAAAGUAAGUGAUGUCGCUGCCGAUGUACACCAUAAACCUUACUGAGUAUAUAUUUGUUCAUAUAUAUUCAGUGUGUAUUCAUAUUUUCAGAAUAGGCAUAACAGCUACAUGUUUGUUCAUAUAUAGUGGAGAUUAUGUGUGUUCAGUCACAACUUUACCGAAUAGGUUCUAAUAUUUUGACCCCCACUUGAAUGGUCAGGUUUAGGAAGAACAAAAGAGGAUCUAAUAUUUAUCGUUAUAUACCCAGAUCAUGAGGUGGUUGGUGUAAUGAGGGAGGUAGUUGAUCAAAGGGAUGCAUGAUACAUUCCAUGUGAACAUGCAAAGAAACUUGUUGUGCAAAAGAUGAUCUGGUUGCUUGGCAAGCUGGUCGAUGUUUAAGUGGAGGGUGCAAAUUUGGCCGAAUGUGCCUCUAUGAUGUCAAAUAUACUUGGAUGUAUAGUGUUGGUAUCACAUGGCAAUGCAAUAGAGGCAAAUAUGUAAAUACUUAUGAUGCUUGAAACGAUUCUGAAGUGAUAUAUGUUGAUCUGUGUGAAUGAUGGGUACUUUGCUGUCGGUUGUUCCUUCUGCGAAUUAUAUAAUUGUAUGUAAUGUGUAGAGUGUUUAUGUUAGUAUUAACAAAUAGUGCAUGAUAGACUGAUUUUUUGAGGGUAUCAUGAUAAAAUGAUUUGUGGUUAGAACUUUAUUGCAUGAGACAUUCGAUACAUUCCACAAAAGGAAAUUUACAUCCUGAUAUUGUGUACUAAUCUUGGUCAUGCGGCAUUCUCUGAUAGUUCAUAUCAUUUUUGUUCCAGAUUGGUGCACCAAUAUGAUUGGAUCUAUAUAUGGUCUCAAUCUUGACCCAUGCUUAUGACAGAAAUCCUAGAGCGAAGUAGUGCUCAAAAACAAAAACAAAAUAAAAAUAAAAAA